UAUCCGGCUACUCUACGUUGCUUUUCUUCUGCUCUGCGACUUGUGUUUAGUGAAGUGGUUAUAAAAUCCCCUGAACAAACGCCAGAUGUCUGUGUCCAGUUCUAAGCCGUGGCUUCGCUGUGUGAGGCCAUGCUGAGAACGAGGCUGGUGCUGGGCGGGCGGGCGCUCAGAGCUGCUGGCUGCACGGGGAAGCAGAAGGGCAGUUUUCAAGGAAAAUGAAGUAAUGUAUGUAAAGCCCUUGGAAAGCAGCGUUCUUGAAGUGAACACGAACUGCUGCGGUGCUGUUGUCGGAACUAAGCUCCGUAGAGCAGGACUGCCCCAGCUAAUGCAUGGGACGCCGAGGCACUGCCGUUUUCCUUAAGCAAGAAUGGGGUCCUGAAGCCCUCUGCUGGAUGUGCAGCAGAAGGCAGACAGCUGAGGGGAGAGUUAUGGUUCUGUUAAGGAAGCCUCUGGCGUGGCUGUAGGGGAAUGUUCAGGAACCAUUGUGAUGAAUUCCAAUUAAGAGUCUUCCUGACACCAGGGGAUGCAGAAGUCAAAGAAUGCCCUGAGCAGCACAGCAACAGACUGCACGGAGCACAGAUAAAGGUUUGUCUUCAUACAGCUUCAAGUGCUGGUGUGGAAUUGUGCCACUUUGUGCACUCACCGUUGAGCAGAGACAGAGCCUAUGGAAACGAGCAGUCCCCAGACAUCAGUCAGACCAGUGUUCCGUUAGCCAUGAAAGUUCUCAGCACAAUGAUUUGAUGAGACCGUGAUCUCGGAGAGGUAGAAAAUGAGAUGGGUUAUUCGGAUGGAUCAGGAGGAAAUGCUGAAUUGUAAAGAUAAUGGACACAAUCCAUUCGGAAGGUUUGGCUUUGUCAGUCUGUCACUGGUAAUCUUGACUAAAUGGUCCUUUGGAAGUGCAGAGAAGGUGCUGCUUUAAAGAUCCAGUGCAGGUUUGUGUGGCUACCUGCCUCAGAGCAGAGGGAAGUCUGCCCUCCCCCUGGAUCUGACCACUGACAUGAGGGGCUGCAUGACCCAGCAGAGAGACCUCAUCCGCCAGCAGGGAAGUUACAAGCCCUCUUGGUCAGAUGCUGUUGCUCUCUGGACUUCUGCCUUUCUAGGUGGGACAGUGUGGCCUCUUUAACCCCAUCACUGGAUCAGUGCUCCCAAAUUAGUGUAAUUAUCCCACUUAAAUUAAGUGAGCAGCUCCUGGCUCCUGGCUCUGCAGCCCAGCCCUGGGCAUCCCCUCUCAGCCUGGUGCCGCAUCCCCCUCUUCCUCCCUCUCCCCCAAAGCCCCCUGCUUGUAGGCUCCUUGAUAUUUUCCAGUCCUUCCCUAAUGAGCACUGCAGAAUUACAGCUAAUUAAGGAUGUAAAUGAUGCUGGAGAGAGAGGGAGAGGGAGAGGAUGGGAAGGGGCGGGGGGAGGGCAGCUACUUGCUGUGUGCAACUCUGCAGUAAAGUGUCUCCUACCUCAGCAGAAAAGUUAUCAUGGGAGACAAUGUCAACUUUAUGGAAGGGGGAGGGCCCUCUCAGUGCCUCAGUCCCCGCCUGUGAGAGCUGCUGCCUCUCUUUUAUGUGUCAGCGCUGCAGAUGCUGAUGUCCUCCCUCCCAAAUGCUGCUUUGUCAGCUGGCGCUGUCACACAGCCCUGGAUCUCUCUCUGCCUCUCACUGCCUUCCUCUCCGUGCCAGGGCACCCAGGGACCUGUCUCCUUCCUUGCAAGGAGGUUUGCCUCUCUUCCUGCCUACAUGUCCUCCACCACACUCACGGUAUGGAGAGGAUCCAGGACUGGUCCCACUCCAUGAAGGAAUGUUUGUGCUGUGACACAGGUGACACAGGCAGGCCAUGAUGCGUGGGCAGGAGCAGGCCAUGCUGGGGACAUCCACCCUAUACAGCACUGCAGAGGGACUUUGGCUGCUGCACCACCAGGAACGCAGCUCUGCUGGGUCCUCUGAGGGCAUCUGGAAGCGCUCUGGGUCCCUGUUGCCGUAUUUCCCUGCACACUGCCUGCAUCAGUGGGUUGUGAAAGCACGUUUGUCCCAGUGCUGAGUUCCGUCCGUCCAUCCUCCAAUGGAGAACCACACGUUGUUGGAUCAAGAGCGGGCAGCAAUGGGCAACAACAGCGGUGGUGGUUUUUGUUGUUGUUUCCCCACAUCGCUGUGCAAUAUAUUCCAAUUUUUUUUCUUGUCAUUAAGCCAGUGCCUCGGAGAUGAUGAUGUAGUCCCUAUGUGGGCCGCAGAAAGCACUUCGAGCCGUGCUGGAGUCGUGCUGGGUGGCUCUGAUAGCAGAGCUAAUGGGAGCGAAUGGGAUGCAACGAACUGUUCUAAUGACACCAGCCAGGGAAGAGACAACAUGCCAAGAGCCAGCUUCUCAGAACGGAUGUUGAAGGAGAAAACCAAGCAUGGCUGGCUGUACAGGACUACUGCCCUGGGAUGAAGCAGGAAUAACUGGAGAUUCCUCCAAUGAUGCCAGCGGAGUGAUAUUGCAAAAGAGUCCCUGCUGGUGGUUUCUGUGGAGUGAGGGUUUGUGCCCUGUCAUCUCCACCUUGCAGAUGAGGAAGCUGAAGCGUGGAGUGGAGCCUUCACCAUCUUCCAUAACAAGCCUCCUAAUGACAGACACGGGUCUCUGGGCAGUGAAUCAACAACCACAUGUGGAAGUGAGCAAGUGCCAGAUACAAAUAUUGACGUUCCCCUGACAGACACCUCCAUGCUGGGCCUGGGUGAGGGCUGGAGCAGACACUGGGCCCGGGCAUCCCAGCAGGAUUUCCAUCUGCCGGCACAGCUGAAGGUCUGCCCUUGUUUUCUGUCUGGGCCCCAAGGAGAGCUGGUGGCAGUGGUGGUGAUUUGAUGAUGUUGGAAAGGUGCUGGUGGUGCUGCCAGAUACCAUCAGCACGUGUAGGGUAAACAGAUGCAUCUCACCUCAUCAUCGAUAAAAACCAUGCUAUAAAAAUCUGACUGAAAUGUGGUUUUUCCCACAUGAACUUUAAAAUGUUUUCAGUUUGGAAAGCGUGAAGGCAAUUCCUUAACAACAAGUUUCUAUGAGAACACAUUGCAAAUUACAUAUCCCAUUAAAAAAUAAAACCUUCACCUUUUACCUUUUUUUGACAGGCAGGAAAAAAAAAUCAACUAAAAAAAUCUUCUACUUUGCAGUGUUUUAAAUCCAGCUGCAGAGUAAGUUUCUAGAAAUUUCCUUCCAUUAGCAAAAAAACCCCUUCAGUCUUCUCAGGACUAUGUAAUGAAACAGAAAUUUAGAGAGCAAAGAGGGAACAAAAUCAGUGUUCUGGCAGCAUUUUGGAAGAAAACAUAGUAAGUGUAAAUGGAGCCUUUUAAAACUCAUAAGUUCACAGCAUGAUAAGACAGCAUCUUGUUCAGAAGUCAAGUCUCCGAACUAAGAAGUGUAGAAAUCCUCCUCUGCCAUUCACCUCUCUAAUUAGGCAGAGGGAGAUUUCCGGUGAGAGACUCAUUCCGUUAUGGAAAUGGUGGAGGCAUGCCCUCUUGCCAUGUACCAACUUCCAUCAGAGGAGCACAGAAACUGUUGAAAGUGCUGUCUCCUCUUUCUUCUCCUUCUUCCAGAAGACAGAUUAAGUUCUAUAUUUGCACUGUACAAGCGUUAAGAUACCGAGACAAACGUGGGACUGCUUUUGCCUAAGGUCACACUGUAUCAAUUGUCCUGAAAAGUCACUCUGCGGCUGCUGUGAGUAGUACAGAAGAGGAAAAUGUGACCCAGCCCUGCUCACUGAAUCCUCUCUAAUGAGAAAAAGCAGUGUAGGAGGAGGCUGGUCCACGCUGACUUGUAGUGUUGUGGACCACAAGCUGUUGCAAAAGAAGGAAGAGCAUUACUACUGGGUACUGAUGCCACAAGUUUCUGAGAAGAUACAGCAGUUUGUGGCAAAUCUGUCUUCUGAUCUCAGGGUCACAUGCAAGGAAAUGAGCGAGUGAUGGGAAAGCCAAGAGGGAGAAAAAAAGAGUUAUUCUCCAGUAAGACUGGGGUGGCCCUGGAGCAACAAGAACUAACCCCUUUUUCACCCAUUUGCCCUGUGUAUUCCACUCUGCUCCCCUCUUCUCUCACCCUCCCCCAGCUUGCCUUAUAAUUCAGGAAGAGGAGGCUGAGGAGAGUAAUAUUGUGCUGGAGAUAGGACUGGAAGGGCAGUAAUUUAGAAUCAGAGGCUUAUAGUAUUAUUGCCUGCAAAGCCAUUCAUGGGAAAUGAUUCCCCCCCAUCCCCAUUCCUCCCUCCCUGCCCCACUCUCCUUGCUCUGCAAUAACAAUAACAGAAAUGCCUUCAGGAGGCUUUGCUACUAGAAAUGCAGGCAAAGAAGCGCUUUCCUCUACCACCCCUCUUCUUUCCCUUCUCUUCCCUCUGCACUCACUUGUCCCCCCUGCCUCCAAGCCUAACUGCCUCUCCCUCCCUUCUCCCUCCCCCCCACCACAGGAUAAAAAAAUAAAAAUAAUAAUAGGGGUAAUAAGAGAGGAGGUAAUGGAACGUUCUCCAACUGGGCACAUGUCAGAAGCCAUUAUAUGUGGUGCAGAUUUGCAUAAUUCAAGAAGCAUCAAAUUAAAUUUGCAUAAUUCCUUUGAUUACACUUGUUAUUAAAUGUAAGUGACAUUGAUUUACAAAAUGGCCCAAUAUAAGGUUAAUAGCAAAUGUCACCUUCCAGCAGGGUGAAUAGGGUGCGUGUGUGGUGGUGGUGGUGAUGGAGGAGGGAGAAAGGGGGGCCUGGGGAGGAAGGCGAGCAGACAAUUGAUUUCUGCUCCUCUCUUCCUUAAAGGGCUCAGGUCUCCUUUGCAGAAGAGCCCUCAGGUUUGGGCUUCAUGUGACUGCAGUGCAGCCAGGAUCACCUGCCAUGUGGUGUCAAUGCUGUCGAGGCACCUGACUAGAGCCUGGCUUUGCUCACUGCUCUCGUGGGGAGCCAUCAAGCCUGGCUUAGCACUGUGCAGAGGGAGCACAGAAAUCAAAACCUGGAAUGAUAGCCAGAUGUAUAAGAUGCACAGAGACUCACAGCCAGCAGUGAACACCUCUGCAUACAGAACCUGUGGUGAUACAGACUCUGGGCCACUGAACGCUGCCAGGGCACCUGGGGGCUGUGACACUGACACCGUGUCUGUUUUGUCAUAGCCCUCAGGCCAUCUGAGCGCUUGCUUUGCAAGUAGAGCCCAUCUCUGUAUAUCGCUCUGCCUGUCUAUAUUCUGUGCAUUUUUCCAGACAGGUGUAAUUUCAUGCUGGGAAACUGACUGCCAAGUUGUGUGAGCACCCCGGGACUGUAAGUGAUAAAACAAAAUUAUGCGUGUAGUGGGAGUGGGCAAACAGCAGAUUUACGCGUUGCAGGCAAUUUCAGUGAUGCACGUAUCUGGCCAUAAUCUUGUUUUGGUUCCACCGAAGCUUUCUUUUUUUGCAAAUCAACAGGCUGGGGGAGGAAAAAAGUCAUCAGUUCUGAUCAAAUUAAAUGUCUUGUUCAAUGUGAAAAAGUAUGCUUAUUUUGGUGACUGAACUCUGUAAACAUUGUCUAAUAGCAUCCAAAUAACAUUAGAAAGGAAACGUCAUUCUGAACCAGUGAUCAGAGGGCUUUUUCAGGAUCUGUCAAAAGAGAAGAUGCUCAGUUUUCUGGAGUAUUUUUUUCUAGGGCUUCAGUUUUGCUACUUUGAACAGCACAAGCUGCUGAAAAUGCCGUGAAUUCACAGACAGCUCAGAUGUGAAUCUUCCUAAGAAAACGUGUUCUAAGGAGAAGAAUCUGUCAGGCAGCCUGUCUGAGUCUCCAUCAAGGAGGUGCAGACCAUCUUCAGAGUGAGGCCAUGGUGGUUCUCUGCCAGCCAGAGCGAGCUGUGCUGCGGGGACACCGGCCCCCCUUCACUGUGUCCCCCCCUGCUCCUCCCGUGCAAAAGUUAUUGUCGUCUUCGUGGAGUCUCAGGUAGGCAGAUGAAUGGGAAAUGUUCCUCUCCAUUACUAGCUGCACUUGACUGGAGUCUCAUUACAUUACGAUGGCGCUUUAGCAGGCGAAUGGGCCUUGCGUCUGGGUUCCCAGCACCCCUCAUACCUCCCUGAUAACGUAAAUUACCCUCCGCCUCAUUGCCUCAAAUGAUCAAACAUCAAAUUGCUAGUAAAAAAAAAAAAAAAAAAAAAAGGAGGAAAAAAGAGAGAGAAAGAGAGAGAGGAGGGAAAGGAGAAAAGCUGAACAGAACCCUGGGUUGAAUCUAGAUGGUUUGUCAGCAACAAGAGACGAGUCAAUGGCUCUUAAACACUUGCUGAAGAUGAAUCCAUUGAAGGUUUUGUGCUCAGUAAUUUCUCUGACAUUAAAAUACACCUGUAAAACUCAAACAAUGCUUUAUAACUCCAAACAGCACUGGGGAAGACCUGCUACUUCAGAGCACAGCGUACUUCUGUUGGUCAGGGGAGGGAGACCUGCAGGUAAACUGUCUCUCUCCAUCACCAGACUUCAAAGCAGAGUUCCACACACACCGUGUGGAUUUGCUAUCAAAUCUGUGGCUGAACAAUGCGCCAAUCUGCCCACCCUUUGUGCCCCUGUUGCCUCAAGAAAGAUCUCCUCAGCCAGAAGAGCACUCCCAGCAGGAACAAAACAAGGAGGGGAGAAAGAGAGGAGCGGGAGCUGCGCGGAUGCAGGUGGGGAUGCCGAGAAAUAUGGAUCUCGUGAGGGUAACGAGGCGCAGUGGAAGGAGGAGGCUAUACGUCUUUUCUCAGUAUUUAAACGUGUGCUUAAUAUGGCGCUCAGUGGAAUGGUUAAUCUGCUAAUGCUGGUAGUGUUUGCUGUAGUACUCAGAGAAAUGUUUACUGCAGUAUUUCAUGGGGAUUGUGUUCUGGAUGGCACAAAAGGAGGAAUCGCUCUAGCGUACCAGGAAAAUGUUCAUUGCAAAAUAUACUGGAAUAUUAAGAGGUUUAUUUAGUGGAGUACUUAGUAUAAUAUGAAAAGAGUAUAUGUAUGAAAAAGAGAGUGUUUUAUUAAUGUUUUUGGGGUGUGGAUGAAUUUCGGUGCUCAGGAAGGUUAUGGAGAAGCAAUUCCAGCAAAGGCUGGUUAUAUUCACAGAUUUAUAGAUCUUGAGAGCAUAAAGGACUCUUUGAUCAGCUAAUCUGACCUUCUGUAUAACACAGGUAUAUACAGCGUGGACAUACCUCCUGAUUCAGCAAAGCACUUUAAGCACUUGCUUAAAUUUAAGCAUUUGAGUUGCCCCAUGGAAGGCAGAGAAAAUAACCCUAUUGAAUCAAUGGGACUAUUCAUGCCCUUAAUGGGAAGUGGAUGUUUAGGCAUUUGCUGAAUUGGGACCACAAUAAGAUAAUGCAGCUAAAUGAGUAAUUCAUAGCCACCCAUUUAUUCAACUGCUUUUGCCUCCUUUUCUGCUCGUGGAUUGCUCUGGAGCCAAUCGCCAUUUCCUGCAAUGUAUUCAUUGUCUGAAGUCAUUCACUGAAUAAUUUCAGUGAAAACUCCUUCUUGAUAGCUUGCUCAUAAACAGGUCAUUGUGAAUAUGGGAAUAUAUGCACAUACGUUUUCACAAUGUGUGUGCGUGCUCCCGUGUGUGUGCGAAUGGACUGUGUAAACACACGUGCACGUGCACGCACAAACCCAGGGUCAGCACCUUCAGCCACAACAGGGAAUCCCUUGGAUGUGGCUUUGUGAUUUUUCUCCCACGUUCACUUGGUGCCCUCUGCCUCGCAGCACAUCCCUCACAGCAAAGUGACCCGCUGGGAAUUUCACAAAAAGGGAAAUAGAAGAAGGCGCACAAUGUGCUGCAGUGAACUCAGCAUAUGAUCGUCCACGUUUGUGUACCCAUGCCAGGCCCUCCAUUCUCUGUCCUUACUCAAUCGGUCAUGAAUCAAAUCUGAUUCAUUUUGAAUGCAUGGCUUAGGGAUUUUUCAAAUCAGCCAGGGCGUAUCUUCUCCAAACAAGGGUAUUUGUGUUUGCAGACUGCCUGUGGCACCGCAUCGGUCAAGUAAGAAGCUCGGUAUUUUUCUGAACAGGAACAAAAUAAAACAGGAACAGGUACCAUGAAUGAGCGGGACACUCGAUGGGUGGAAUUGUGUUUGUGCAGUGGGCAGCUCCAGUUCUCAUGCAGAACUUACUGGACAUUAUGCAUUACAACGUGGGAAUCGUUUGCUUCUGAUGCAGGCUACCUGUCAGGUAUUCUUUCUGAAAGUCACACUGCUUUUUAGGAUCUGCUUAUCUUUUCAGGAAAUCAAAGGAAUUACCUUGAUAUUCAAGAGUAAAAUACAAAUUGCCUACAAAUUAAAAACUGAACUUGAUAUUUCCUGCAUUUCAGUUUAUCUUCCUUCCUUCCAGGAUGGCAAAGAGAGCUGUGAUGGAAACCAGGAAGGAGCCAGGCAGUUUUGGUUCCUAUACAGAGCUGGUGGGAUGCUCCACACUCUCUUCUGGGGCUCCUGACAGCUCUGGCACCCAGAAUGGCUUCUGAACAUCCCUCUGUUGCUGCAAGUGCUGGAGCUGAUGUGCUCGGGGUGGAGGGCUGCUCACUAGGACUGAUCACAGGGAAAACCUUCCCUCUUGUCUGCAAGUGUGUGAGAUUACGUGGAGGAGGUUUGCAUGGAGGAGGCUUAAAGCACGGCUCAUGAUGAGAGCUGACUGUGGCAAGCGCAAGGAGGUGCCACUGAGUACUUGGGUUGUUUCAUUAGGACUUUGAGAAUCAUUACUUUUUCUUCCAUUUGUCCAACUGAGAAUUCAGAGAGUUUUGGCUUUUUCUGGUUAACCUGAGAAGGGUUUUAUUUUCUGAUAUAUUUCAGUAAAGCAGAAGGACACUGUAAGUUGUCCAGGCCAAAUGAGAUACGUCGAUGGCCACUGUCUUUUGUAAAAAAAGCAGUUAUUUCACACAGCAAAGACCAUUUCAACAUGAAAAAUCAAUUGCAAUUAUUCUUUUCCCGAAAUAUAAAAUGAAACCUUUUGACUUUUCAAAAUUAACAUUUCCAUUUAAAUUUUCCCCUGGUGGCGGAUGACUGGCCAAAUUCAGCAUGAGCUAGCCAGCAGCCUGUCAGCUGAAGGCACCGUUUAUUCUGCAAAUAAACUUUAUCCACUGGAGUAAAAAGAGCAGCGGCAAAUCUGACGCCGCGUUCCCAAAAGUUGGGCUGUGGUCGGAUCUGCGGUACGUGCUUCUGCCAAUAUUUGCAUAGCAUUGGAAACAACAGAGAUCAUUUGGAGUUAUCUGGGGAGCACCAGGGCAGGGUGCUGGGCAGAGCCACGCACGGGCCCAGCCUGAGGUUUGUUUACCCCGCGGCUCAACGCUAUCCGGCCUGCCGCGGUCAGUGCCGCUCUCCUAAUGGAGAGCCUGCCACUUGUGCGUGCAUGCAAAGAAUCGCUUGGGUGUUAGUUUUGUUUGCCAAUACAAGCCGCCCAUUAGCUAUCUUAAUCCUCUUUCCUAACAGGCUUUAAAAAAAAAAAGAAAAAGGGAAGGGGGGGGGAAUAGAAGGUCUCUCUCAGAUGUUGUUGUAGAGGAAAGAAAUGCCCUUCUCUUUUUUGUUUUGUUUUGUUUUUUCUUUUGAAUGGAAAUGUCUUGCUUCAUUGUAGUUUCGCCUUCUGAAAGUAGAUGUGUUUUUCACUGAGGAGGCUGGAAUCCGCUUGCGGAGAAUUUACAAAAGGAAUAAAACUCUGACUUGUUGCAAUUUUUUCACAGAAAAUGAAAUUGAAUGUCAGGAGCCACUCAGGGCUAAACUUCCAGCAAAUAUGGGGUUAGAUGGGACCAGUUGGUGCUCAUCCUACUCUCCUCCUUCCCUUCCCAACAUUGUUUUGGAUGAAAUGCAAAAUCAAAUCCUGCAAGAUGUGAUCAUUUAGGGUACUGUGGCAUAUUUUGAAACAGUAGGGCUGUUAGCCCCAGCAUCUUGGCCAAAUUCCAGGCUGGAUAAUUACAUUCUGCCGGCCUAUAUUCCAGCCUGCAGUUCAAAUAGGGAAGAAAAAAAAAAAAGAAAAGAGUUAUCAUUUCUCCUCCAAGAAAUCCUGCUGUGUGAUGACUGAUGCUUCUCCAUCCCAAAAGUGGCUGUGUUUCAGGAAACGUUGCCUCCAUCUUCCUCCACGUCUUGCCCAUUGCUGUGAGGAAGUCUGUCCGGCUCCUUGGUGGGAACAAAGCACAGAGCUGACCAGGAGGGAGCUGGCAUUGCCUUGCACACCUCCUUCAGUGCUCUGUGUCCCUCUCUGCAUGGAACCCCACUACACAGGGCCACAUCCCCACAGCCUGCAGCAGGUCUUUGUGCUGCCAGCAGCCAGGGGUGGGCUGGGGAAGGCACAGAGGGCAGGCCGGCCGCGGUGGGAGAGGGAGGACUCACUUGACCCAUGCCUGUAAUUUGUAAAGAGCAUUUUUACACCAGAUCAAUGCUUUCCUCAGCAUUUUAAUGCACCCCAUUGGUGUCCUUAAACUCUAAUGAUGCAGUCUGUGAGAAGCUGCCAUUUAUUACCCACAGAUGGGGUGAUAAUUAUUGACAAGAUUGUAACUAAUAAUUAAACCCAUUUGCUCCUUUAAACAAGUUGGUGUGAAUUAUUUGCCGGGAGAGCUGUAGCAGGCCUGUGGUCACUCCUCCCCAUGGCUGAGAUGCAGUGCUGCCAGGAGCGAACCCUGCACGUGGGAUGAAGCACGGCCGUCCUGGGG